GCUGGGCACAGUGGCCCAUGUCUGUAAUCUGAGUGACUCAGGAGGCUGAGGCAGGAGGAUUGCCAGUUGGAGGCCAGCCUGGGAAACUUAGCCAUUCCCUGUCUCAA
rnacentral:sRNA from 1 species